rnacentral:rRNA from 1 species
UAACAGGAAGAAGCUUGCUUCUUUGCUGACGAGUGGCGGACGGGUGAGUAAUGUCUGGGAAACUGCCUGAUGGAGGGGGAUAACUACUGGAAACGGUAGCUAAUACCGCAUAACGUCGCAAGACCAAAGAGGGGGACCUUCGGGCCUCUUGCCAUCGGAUGUGCCCAGAUGGGAUUAGCUAGUAGGUGGGGUAACGGCUCACCUAGGCGACGAUCCCUAGCUGGUCUGAGAGGAUGACCAGCCACACUGGAACUGAGACACGGUCCAGACUCCUACGGGAGGCAGCAGUGGGGAAUAUUGCACAAUGGGCGCAAGCCUGAUGCAGCCAUGCCGCGUGUAUGAAGAAGGCCUUCGGGUUGUAAAGUACUUUCAGCGGGGAGGAAGGGAGUAAAGUUAAUACCUUUGCUCAUUGACGUUACCCGCAGAAGAAGCACCGGCUAACUCCGUGCCAGCAGCCGCGGUAAUACGGAGGGUGCAAGCGUUAAUCGGAAUUACUGGGCGUAAAGCGCACGCAGGCGGUUUGUUAAGUCAGAUGUGAAAUCCCCGGGCUCAACCUGGGAACUGCAUCUGAUACUGGCAAGCUUGAGUCUCGUAGAGGGGGGUAGAAUUCCAGGUGUAGCGGUGAAAUGCGUAGAGAUCUGGAGGAA